rnacentral:rRNA from 1 species
AACGCUGGCGGCGUGCCUAACACAUGCAAGUCGAACGAAGNACCUGACACGGAAGUCCUUCGGGAGGAAGAGUCUUGUGACUGAGUGGCGGACGGGUGAGUAACGCGUGGGCAACCUGCCUUGUACAGGGGGAUAACAGUUGGAAACGACUGCUAAUACCGCAUAAGCCUACAGUAUCGCAUGAUACAGUAGGGAAAAAACUCCCGGUGGUACAAGAUGGGCCCGCGUCUGAUUAGGUAGAUGGCGGGGUAACGGCCCACCAUGCCUACGAUCAGUAGGGGGUUCUGAGAGGAAGGUCCCCCACAUUGGAACUGAGACACGGACCAAACUCCUACGGGAGGCAGCAGUGAGGAAUAUUGGUCAAUGGACGCAAGUCUGAACCAGCCAUGCCGCGUGCAGGAUGACGGCUCUACGAGUUGUAAACUGCUUUUGUAUGAGGGUAAUAUCAGGUACGUGUACCUGCUUGAAAGUAUCAUACGAAUAAGGAUCGGCUAACUCCGUG